UCCCCGCCCCCUCCCCCCGUCAUCUCCCCCCUCCCCCCCCAAUCCAUACAGCAGCCGGAGAUGAGCUCAUUAGAGUCAGGCCAAACAGGGGGAAAAAAAAGCCAGAGGGCUAGGUUGGGGUUUGGGGAAGUUCUGGGGAGAGCUGGGUCGGAUUUUUUUGGUUGCUUGUUCUAAAAGGGGGAUCCUGCCAGACGCUCUGUCUUAAUUAUGAGGGACAGCUCGUUGCAACGGCCCGGGGAGAAGAUCAGAAAGUUAAAGGACAUUACUGAAAGUAGGGAAUUCAGAAAAUUGUCUCUGGAGCAAUUCCACAGAAAUAACUCCUCAACCUGAGAAACAUCAAUAUCAGACGUCAAGUUAUUAGACAUCCCUCAGUCUUUGGAACAGUCUUUCUGCUUUCUUCAACCACCAUUGACUCAUCAUUGCCAACACUUUCACCUUGCUCCCUGAGCACAGGCAAGACAAACCUGGCUCGAAAAGGCAUGGUCCAGCUUUAUAUUCUUGUCACUGAAUUGAAUAGAAGCUAAUGAAUGAAAGUUAAGAGAGAUCUGCAAUUUCUGAUCUGAUUUAGAGAUUUUCAGUCUGUCUAAGGGGGAACCUUUCUGCCAUUCAAAGUGUAUAAAACCAGAAUGGGAUGCCUUUGGGAGGAGUGAAUUGCCAGUCAACCACCAUAUCUCAAAGGUCAAUUUGGAUAAUGCUUUGUGAAGGUUGCUCCGAGGAUGCUUUGGAGAAGGAAGAAGAAGCAGAUUGUAUUGGUGCUUAAGCUUUGGAGAGUCGAACAUUAGAAGCAGAGAUGUGCCCUGGCAAUGAGCAAUGAGAUGUGUGCCAUAGACGAGAUAUCUACUUAGAGCUGGUCUGAGAACCAGGAACAAGUGGACAUUCUCAUUCUUCUACCUGUUCUCCCUCUGCUCAUGCUCUUUCUUGAUCAUCCUUGUUUCAAUCUAUUUCUCCUUUUUCCUGUUUACAAAGGAUUUCCUUGUCACCAUAUGGUAAGUUUCCAAAGGGGUAAGUAUGGUGCAGAGGGAAGGACAGUCUGGCUCUGCUAUCCUUUCUUGGGGGAUCUUGAACUCAUCCCUUCUUCCUGAAUUGUAGUUGUUUUUCUGGUCAAAGGACUUUGAUUUACAUUACCUCCAAGUUUCCAUCAAGUUCUAAACCUCAAAUGCAAAGUUUAAAGUGCUGAAAGAGAGGCAGCUAA